rnacentral:rRNA from 1 species
UAGGGAAUCUUGCACAAUGAGCGCAAGCCUGAUGCAGCGAUGCCGCGUGAGGGAUGAAGGUCUUCGGAUUGUAAACCUCUUUCGACAGGGAAGAAGCCACCUCUCAAGGUGGUGACGGUACCUGUAGAAGAAGCCCCGGCUAACUACGUGCCAGCAGCCGCGGUAAAACGUAGGGGGCAAGCGUUGCCCGGAUUUACUGGGCGUAAAGCGGGUGUAGGCGGUCCUCUAAGUCAGAUGUGAAAUCCUACGGCUCAACCGUGGAACUGCAUCUGAUACUGGAGGACUUGAGGACGGUAGAGGUCGGUGGAAUCCCCGGUGUACCGGUGAAAUGGGCAGAUAUCGGGGGGAACACCAGUGGCGAAGGCGGCCGACUGGGCCGAUCCUGACGCUGAGACCCGAAAGCUAGGGUAGCGAACCGG